AACAUCCAGUGUGGAAGGGACCUCAGGACAUCUCUAGUCCUGCUCGGAAUAUGGCCAACACUGAAUUCAGACUGUAUUGCUCAGGGUGUCAUCUUGUUGGGUCUUGAAAACCUCCAGAGAUGGGAUUUCACAGCUUCUCUGGGCAUCCUGUUCUGGUUGCAUUUGUCCUUGUUGAAUUUCAUGAUGUUCCUUCCUUAGCCUAUUCCUCCAGCCUGCCUAGGUCCAGCUGAAGAGAAGCCCUGUGUUUGAGUGUACCAACUUCAUUGCCACAGUUUGCUGUCAUCUGCAAAAGUGGAAAGGUUGCACUCCACCUCCUCCUCCAGGCCCCUGAUAAAGAUAUCAAAUGUUACAGGACCCAAGACAGACACCUGAGAGACUCCACUUGUAACCAACGUCCAGCAGCACGUCCACAUUCUUCCCAGAGUCUUAAGAAGAGCAAUUCCUUCUCAAAAGAGCUUACAAACACCACUAAACAGAAAAUGGUUCAUCUCACCAGCUCAGCUGAAGUCCCAAGAACUGGAUUGGCAAGUUCACAGAGCAGUACUGGAGAUGUUUUUCAAACUUCAUGUCUGCAUUCAUGUUACCUUGGACUGACCUAAUUUUAUUGGAUCACUUUUCUCCUGGGUUCUGGACCCUCCUGAUGUCUACUCCUCUGCAUUAGUUUAUCCCAUCUGUUUGAGUACUGCCAUAUGUUUAACAGAGUUUUUACUUUGGAAGUAACUACCAGUGGCAGAUACGAGUCUCCUGUCUGUUGAACAUCCAAGGUAUGUGAAAUAUUAGGGGGGAUGUCAGGUUGUUUUUUUUUUUAAUAUUUUGUUCCAUAUAUAUAGUAUUUUAUAUACAUAUAUUUUAGUAUGUAUGUAUUUUGGUAAGUCACCUAUAUGGAAAUCUGUCAUUCCUUCAAUACCUACUGCUUGUUCUUGGUCUGCUCUUGGCAGAUUUGUCCUGUGUUUAUAGAGCACUGUAGGGCUCUGUUUGAUCUUUCCUUCUCUAGAAAUGUUAUGGAAUAUUGCAUGAGCUCAUGGAGGCAAGCUCAAGGUGUCUACUGCAGAGAGGGUUACAGCAAGAGCGUACUUACAGACUUCAAUCCUCAUAUUUAUUUAAUAAAUACACUUAUACUAAAUGUA